CCCCGGGUUCCCCCUAACGCGGGUUUAUUUCCUGGUCUGGAGAGCUUUUCUUCUUCACGUGGGUUUUCUCCCAGCUGUAUGUGUCUAUUUAUAAUAAAUAGUGUGGCCAGGAAAUAAAACAAGUAUAAUCACCAGUGCGAUCGAGAUAGAUAUAGACAUAUCUUUUUGUAUGGGGCAGUGUGUGAUGUGUAUACACUUAUAUAUACACACACAUACACUACAUAUUUUUAAAUAAAAUAAAUCAUUAUUUCCACGUAUUUUCAUUUUCUUCUGGGAUUUCUUCUGGGUUUAAAGGGAAUUCCACCACCCAAUCUCGGCUAAGUGGAUUGCUUUCCAUCCCGCACUGCAUGGUUCCCCGUGGCUGUGGCAGCUGCUGUCUCCUCUUCAGACUGUAUUGCCAGCUCCUUUGAGACAUUCCUUUCGCUGUGUGUAAACUGGUUUCCGAACCUUUGGGUUGAAAAGCGGGAUACGACCUUCUUCCACUCCCCCACGAUUUGAGCUUCUACGCCCUUUUCUUCCAUGAUAACAUAUUUUGAGAGACUCAAGAAGACCAGUGCACUUAGGGGGCUGAAGGUUUAUUCCAAAUGCCCCAGCCAGCAACAGCAUCAAUUCUCAGACACCCACGGUUGCUCUUGGCUCUGUAUAUCUGUGUGUAACCGCUGCUAGGAUGGUUAUUUAUUCAGUCCGUUCAUGCUCAGAUAACAAUCCUUGAACUCAGAUUUUCUCCUCUGAUUUAUUGACACACUCGAGAGGUGAAUUUGUGGUCAAAGGACGCUGAGUCAGCCACCAAUGGGAAAAGCAAACUCUUGACUCACCUCUCGUUAAAGUCGCCACCUUUGUGUCUGGCAGGCGGAAAUUAAACAGAUAACUUCACAUACACACAACGGAGAUGCAGGAAUGGAUAACGUUUCACGGGUGAAGUGUUCGGGCUGCGCGCAGUUGUUAAAGAUAGAGGAGGCCUACCAGGAACACCCAAGUCUGGUUCAAGGGGGAUUAUGAGUGAAAGACAAAAUAGAUUUAAAAAGUCUGAAAUUUGUAUUGCAAGGGUUGGAAUUGUUUGAGAGACUUGGCCUGCUUUGUUAUCUUGUUGAUAAAGGAGAAAUUAAAAAGUAUGCCACUACGGGCCAAUCAGA